rnacentral:rRNA from 1 species
UACGUAGGGUGCGAACGUUGUCCGGAAUUACUGGGCGUAAAGAGCUCGUAGGCGGUUUGUCGCGUCGUCUGUGAAAUUCUGCAACUCAAUUGUAGGCGUGCAGGCGAUACGGGCAGACUUGAGUACUACAGGGGAGACUGGAAUUCCUGGUGUAGCGGUGAAAUGCGCAGAUAUCAGGAGGAACACCGGUGGCGAAGGCGGGUCUCUGGGUAGUAACUGACGCUGAGGAGCGAAAGCGUGGGUAGCGAACAGG